rnacentral:rRNA from 1 species
GACGAACGCUGGCGGCGUGCUUAACACAUGCAAGUCGAACGGAAAGGCCCUGCUUUUGUGGGGUGCUCGAGUGGCGAACGGGUGAGUAACACGUGAGUAACCUGCCCUUGACUUUGGGAUAACUUCAGGAAACUGGGGCUAAUACCGGAUAGGAGCUCCUGCUGCAUGGUGGGGGUUGGAAAGUUUCGGCGGUUGGGGAUGGACUCGCGGCUUAUCAGCUUGUUGGUGGGGUAGUGGCUUACCAAGGCUUUGACGGGUAGCCGGCCUGAGAGGGUGACCGGCCACAUUGGGACUGAGAUACUGCACAGACUCCUACGGGAGGCAGCAGUGGGGAAUAUUACACAAUGGGCGGAAGCCUGAUGCAGCAACGCCGCGUGCGGGAUGACGGCCUUCGGGUUGUAAACCGCUUUCGCCUGUGACGAAGCGUGAAUGACGGUAAUGGGUAAAGAAGCACCGGCUAACUACGUG